rnacentral:rRNA from 1 species
UACGGAGGAUCCGAGCGUUAUCCGGAUUUAUUGGGUUUAAAGGGUGCGUAGGCGGGCUAAUAAGUCAGUGGUGAAAUUUUAGAGCUUAACUUUAAAAUUGCCAUUGAUACUGUUAGUCUUGAGUACAGAUGAGGUGGGCGGAAUGUGUCAUGUAGCGGUGAAAUGCAUAGAUAUGACACAGAACACCAAUUGCGAAGGCAGCUCACUAAACUGAAACUGACGCUGAGGCACGAAAGCGUGGGGAUCAAACAGG